GAUGAACGCUGGCGGCGUGCCUAAUACAUGCAAGUCGAGCGAACGGACGAGAAGCUUGCUUUUCUGAUGUUAGCGGCGGACGGGUGAGUAACACGUGGAUAACCUACCUAUAAGACUGGGAUAACUUCGGGAAACCGGAGCUAAUAUCGGAUAAUAUUUUGAACCGCAUGGUUCAAAAGUGAAAGACGGUCUUGCUGUCACUUAUAGAUGGAUCCGCGCUGCAUUAGCUAGUUGGUGAGGUAACGGCUUACCAAGGCAACGAUGCAUAGCCGACCUGAGAGGGUGAUCGGCCACACUGGAACUGAGACACGGUCCAGACUCCUACGGGAGGCAGCAGUAGGGAAUCUUCCGCAAUGGGCGAAAGCCUGACGGAGCAACGCCGCGUGAGUGAUGAAGGUCUUCGGAUCGUAAAACUCUGUUAUUAGGGAAGAACAUAUGUGUAAGUAACUGUGCACAUCUUGACGGUACCUAAUCAGAAAGCCACGGCUAACUACGUG
rnacentral:rRNA from 1 species